rnacentral:tRNA from 1 species
GCCUGGCUGGCUUAGUUGGUAGAGCAUGUGACUCCACCUCAGGGUUGUGAGUUCAAGCCCCAUGUUGGGCC